rnacentral:rRNA from 1 species
UACAGAGGCCUCGAGCGUUGUUCGGAAUUACUGGGCGUAAAGGGAAUGUAGGUGGUGACGUAAGUCAGAUGUGAAAGCCCUGGGCUUAACCCGGGAAGUGCAUUUGAUACUGCGUUGCUCGAGUACGAGAGAGGAAAGCGGAAUUUCCAGUGUAGGAGUGAAAUCCGUAGAUAUUGGAAGGAAUACCGAUGGCGAAGGCAGCUUUCUGGCUCGUAACUGACACUGAGAUUCGAAAGCGUGGGUAGCAAACAGG